rnacentral:rRNA from 1 species
UACGGGGGGGGCGAGCGUUGUUCGGAAUUAUUGGGCGUAAAGAGCUCGUAGGCGGUUUGUUGCGUCGGCUGUGAAAUCCCGAGGCUCAACCUCGGGUCUGCAGUCGAUACGAGCAAACUAGAGUGUUGCAGGGGAGACUGGAAUUCCUGGUGUAGCGGUGAAAUGCGCAGAUAUCAGGAGGAACACCGGUGGCGAAGGCGGGUCUCUGGGCAACAACUGACGCUGAGGAGCGAAAGCGUGGGGAGCGAACAGG